rnacentral:rRNA from 1 species
AACGAACGCUGGCGGCAUGCCUAACACAUGCAAGUCGAACGAGACCUUCGGGUCUAGUGGCGCACGGGUGCGUAACGCGUGGGAAUCUGCCCUUGGGUUCGGAAUAACAGUUGGAAACGACUGCUAAUACCGGAUGAUGACGUAAGUCCAAAGAUUUAUCGCCCAGGGAUGAGCCCGCGUAGGAUUAGCUAGUUGGUGGGGUAAAGGCCUACCAAGGCGACGAACCUUAGCUGGUCUGAGAGGAUGAUCAGCCACACUGGGACUGAGACACGGCCCAGACUCCUACGGGAGGCAGCAGUGGGGAAUAUUGGACAAUGGGCGAAAGCCUGAUCCAGCAAUGCCGCGUGAGUGAUGAAGGCCUUAGGGUUGUAAAGCUCUUUUACCCGGGAUGAUAAUGACAGUACCGGGAGAAUAAGCCCCGGCUAACUCCGUG